rnacentral:rRNA from 1 species
CCGUAGUUAGAUAUCAAUUGGUUUGAAAGCAACCUGCAAAGGAUGCAACUUAAACCUUUAACUUGUUACCUUGAGAAAAUGGAGGCGCCUAAGGCACGCGAUAUGUGUGAACUAUCUAGCAUGGAAUAGCACAUUUAAACUGUCAAUAAACAUGCCGAAUGUUUGUUGAUUAGGAUGAUUGAUAAGGGCAGUCGGGGACACUUGUACUUGCUGGAGAGAGGUGAAAUUCUGAGACCCGGCAAAGACACUCAAAUGCGAAAGCUUUUGUCCAGRAUGUUCCUGUUAAUCAAGGACUAAAGUUGGGGGAUCGAAGACGAUUAGAUACCGUCGUAGUCCCAACCGUAAACCAUGCCGACUGAUCGUUGGUUAGAAGUCUGUAUUCUUUUCAGCGUUCGAAAGAAAUUGAAGUUUUUGGGCCCUGGGGGGAGUAUGGUUGCAAGACUGAAACUUAAAGGAAUUGACGGAAGGGCACCACCAGGAGUGGAGCUUGCGGCUUAAUUCGACUCAACGCGUGAAAUUUUACCAGGUCCGGACAUAGUUAUGAUUGACAAACUAAAAGAUUUUUCUAAAUUCUAUGGGUGGUGGUGCAUGGCCGUUCUUAGUCGGUGAGGUGACUUGUCUGGUUUAUUCCGAUAACGGACGAGACCUUGACCUUUAAUUCUCGACUGUUAUCUUAAAUGGAAGAGUCUUAAAGGGACUCAAUGUUCCAAACAUUGGGAAGAUCAAGGCAAUAACAGGUCUGUGAUGCCCUUAGAUAACCUGGGCUGCACGUGUGCUACAAUAACAUGCACAACGAGUACCAAUAUCGAAACGAUGUUGUGAAUCUUCAAAGCGUGUUAAGGU